GACGAACGCUGGCGGCGUGCCUAAUACACGCAAGUAGAACGCAGUUGCGAACGGGUGAGUAAAGCGUAGGUAACUGCCACAUAGCGGGGGCUAACUAUUGGACAAGCUAGCUACUACCUCAUACUGUGAGAUGGACCUGCGUUGUCUUAGCUAGUUGGGGAGGUAAAGGCUCACAAAGGCGACUAUACAUAUCCUACCGUAGAGGUUGACCGGCCACACUGGGACGUAGACACGGACCAGACUCGUACUGGAGGCAGCAGUAGGGAUUCUUCGGCAAUGGACGGAAGUCUGACCGAGCAACGCCGCGGUAGUGAAGAAGGUUUUCGGAACGUAAAGCUCUGUUGUUAGAGAAGCGGUAACUAACCAGAAAAGGACGGCUAACUACGUGCCAGCAGCCGCGGUAAUUC
rnacentral:rRNA from 1 species